UACGUAGGGGGCUAGCGUUGUCCGGAAUCAUUGGGCGUAAAGAGCGUGUAGGCGGUCCGGUAAGUCCGCUGUGAAAGUCGGGGGGCUCAACCCUCGAAUGCCGGUGGAUACUGUCGGGCUAGAGUGCGGAAGAGGCGAGUGGAAUUCCUGGGUGUAGCGGUGAAAUGACGUAGAGAUCAUGAGGAAGACCAGUGGCGAAGGCGGGUCUCUGGACAGUUCCUGACACUGAGACACGAAGGCCAGGGGAGCAAACGGG
rnacentral:rRNA from 1 species